GAUGAACGCUGGCGGCGUGCCUAAUACAUGCAAGUCGAGCGAACAGAUGAGGCGCUUGCUCCUCUGACGUUAGCGGCGGACGGGUGAGUAACACGUGGAUAACCUACCUCUAAGACUUGGAUAACUUCGGGAAACCGGAGCUAAUACUGGAUAAUAUAUUGAACCGCAUGGUUCAAUAGUGAAAGACGGUUUUGCUGUCACUUAUAGAUGGAUCCGCGUCGCAUUAGCUAGUUGGUAAGGUAACGGCUUACCAAGGCAACGAUGCGUAGCCGACCUGAGAGGGUGGUCGGCCACACUGGAAGGGAGACACGGUCCAGACUCCGACGGGAGGCAGCAGUCGGGAAUCGUCCGCAAUGGGGGAAAGCCUACCAGAGCAACACCGCGUGAGUGGUGAAGGUCUUCGGAUCGUGAAGCUCUGUUAUUAGGAAAGAACAAAUGUGUAAGUAGCUGUGCACGUCUUGACGGUACCUAAUCAAAAAGCCACGGCUAACUACGUG
rnacentral:rRNA from 1 species